rnacentral:rRNA from 1 species
UACGUAGGUGUCGAGCGUUGUCCGGAUUUAUUGGGCGUAAAGGGUGCGCAGGCGGCGGGGCAAGUCGGGUGUGAAAGCCCGGGGCUUAACUCCGGGUCUGCAUUCGAUACGGGUCUGCUGGGGUCCGGCAGGGGAGACUGGAAUUCCUGGUGUAGCGGUGAAAUGCGCAGAUAUCAGGAGGAACACCGGUGGCGAAGGCGGGUCUCUGGGCCGGUACCGACGCUGAGGAGCGAAAGCGUGGGGAGCGAACAGG